AUACGUAGGGUGCGAGCGUUGUCCGGAAUUACUGGGCGUAAAGAGCUCGUAGGUGGUUUGUCGCGUCGUCUGUGAAAUUCCGGGGCUUAACUCCGGGCGUGCAGGCGAUACGGGCAUAACUUGAGUACUGUAGGGGAGACUGGAAUUCCUGGUGUAGCGGUGAAAUGCGCAGAUAUCAGGAGGAACACCGGUGGCGAAGGCGGGUCGCUGGGCAGUAACUGACGCUGAGGAGCGAAAGCAUGGGUAGCGAACAGGAUUAGAUACCCUGGUAGUCCAUGCCGUAAACGGUGGGCGCUAGGUGUAGGGGUCUUCCACGACUUCUGUGCCGUAGCUAACGCAUUAAGCGCCCCGCCUGGGGAGUACGGCCGCAAGGCUAAAACUCAAAUGAAUUGACGGGGG
rnacentral:rRNA from 1 species